GUCAGGGGCCAAGGGUCAGAGGUCGGGGGAGGAAGAGCCACUGCGGCUGGCCCAGAGGUCACUUAGCCACCAGAUGCAGGAGACAGCCAAGAGGAGGACGAGUUGGAGGAGGAGGAAGAAGUCCCCCGGGAGGGGGCCUGGGGAGCCGCCUGAGCCCCCGAUGCUGGGAUGCGGCGGUGGGGCCGGCUCACCCAGGCAGAGAGGAGGGUGUAGACCCCUGGCCAGCGCCCGCAGCUGUAGCUCUUGACCCAGCUCAUGACGCCAACCUGCCCUCAGGAACCAUGCGCCUGGCAGACCAGAGGCCCUCCCGAGUCACCCUGAGGGCAGAGAAGGAGCUGGGCCUCCUGGAGGACUGCCUGGCGCAGAGGCGGAUAUGAGAGGAGCCCAGAAGAAUCUUGUAGGAGGAAAAGUUCAGAGACGGAGACAUGUCAGAUGACACAGAAGCCAGCUCGCAGGAGCUCCCAGUGUCCGCAUCAGAGCGAGUUUGCACAUUAUAAAAUGAUUGGGAAAAAGAAAGAAAUUAAAAUAACUGAAUAAAACAGGGGACCAUGAGUCUAUACAGUUAUAAAUAAGCAAAUGAAUACAUAGUCUGAUGAGAACUUGGCUAGUUACAGGGUGUCAAGGAAUCUCCCCACAAAACACGCAGUCAUCACUAAGGGGAAGGAGUGGCUUCCCGGGGAGAAGCCGGGCAGAUGCCCCUUGCUCAAGAGAUGAGAGUGGAUGUCCCAGCAACUGGAGAAGUCGGUCGUGCACGCCCUUGACAGGAGGCGGACCUCAGAGCCGGGCCUGUGAUGCUCCUGCCAAACGGGUAUCCCCUCAAUCUAAUCGUGAAAAAAUAUCAGCCCGGCUUGAGGAGCGCUCCACAAAACGAUGGCCCGAAAUCUUCAAGGGUCUCAGGGUCAGAGGAGCUGAGGAAAGACCGAGGACCCGUUCCAGAGCCCAGCGUGCCUCCUGAUCCUAGGCAGGACAUUUUCCAUCCAAGGACAUUUUUGGGAGAGCUGAUGGACUUGGAUUUGGCGAUUGAGAAUUACAUGUCAGUAGGAUGCCCACAGCUACUUCAGGGCUGACUGGCUAUACGGCAGAGCUACGGGAUAACCCCCUCUCCCUUCCUUCCUUCCUUCCUUCCUUCCUUCCUUCCUUCCUUCCUUCCUUCCUUUCUCUUUCUCUCCUUCCUUCCUUCCUUCUUUCUUUCCCUCCCUCCUUCCUUCUUUCCUUCCUUCCUUCCUUUUUUUUUUUUUGACAGGGUCUUACUCACUGCAGCCUUGGCUGUGAGUCAAGGGCUCACUGUAGCCUUGGCCCCCUGGGCUCAAGCAAUCCUCUCGCCCAAGAGGUUGAAGCUGCAGUGAGCCGAGAUUGCGCCACUGCACUCCAGCCUGGGUGACAGAGUGAGACCCUGUCUCUUAGAAAAAUAAAAAUAAAAUCUUACUGGAUUAUGGCUGGGCACAGUGGCCGAUGCCUGUAAUCUCAGCACUUUGGGAGGCUGAGGCGGGUGGGUCACCUGAGGUCAGGAGUUCAAGACCAGCCUGGCCAACGUGGUGAGACCGCAUCUCUAUAAAAAAUACAAAAAUUAGCUGGGUGUGUUGGCUCAUGCCUCUACUCCCAGCUACUUGGGGGACUGAGGCAGGGGGAUUGCUUGAGUCCAGAAGGUGGAGGUUGCAGUGAGCCGAGAUCACUCCACUGCCCUCUAGCCUGGGCAACAGAGUGAGACCCUGUCUCUAAACAAAUAAAUAAAAUGUUACUGGAUUAUAACCAAAGUAUAAGAUAAAUAUCCAUGAGCCGGCCGGCGUCACACCUGUAAUCCCAGCACUUUGUAGGCUGAGGCAGGCGGAUCAUUUGAGGUCAGGAGUUCGAGACCAACCUGGCCAACAGGGUGAAACCCUAUCUCUAUUAAAAAUACAAAAAUUAGCCGGGCAUGGUCGCAGGCACCUGUAAUCCCAGUUACUCAGGAAGCUGAGACAGGAGAAUCGCUUGAACCCGG
rnacentral:lncRNA from 10 species